rnacentral:rRNA from 1 species
UCAGUCGACUCCUACGGGGAGGCAGCAGUGGGGGAAUAUUGCACAAUGGGCGCAAGCCUGAUGCAGCCAUGCCGCGUGUAUGAAGAAGGCCUUCGGGUUGUAAAGUACUUUCAGCAGUGAGGAAGGUGGAUAUGUUAAUAGCAUAUUCAUUUGACGUUAGCUGCAGAAGAAAGCACCGGCUAACUCCGUGCCAGCAGCCGCGGUAAUACGGAGGGUGCGAGCGUUAAUCGGAAUUACUGGGCGUAAAGCGCAUGCAGGUGGUUUGUUAAGUCAGAUGUGAAAGCCCGGGGCGUCAACCUCGGAAUUGCAUUUGAAACUGGCAAACUAGAGUACUGUAGAGGGGGGUAGGAAUUUCAGGUGUAGCGGUGAAAUGCGUAGAGAUCUGAAGGAAUACCGGUGGCGAAGGCGGCCCCCUGGACAGAUACUGACACUCAGAUGCGAAAGCGUGGGGAGCAAACAGGAUUAGAUACCCUGGUAG